AUAUAUGUAGUAAUUCUAUAGUGCGGACCGUUCGUAUGUGGACCGCACUAAAAGUCAAUGCUUUAAAAAAAAAAAACAUUGACUUUACUGUGUAUACUGUAUAUAUAUACACAGCAAAGCCAACGGUUUUUCCUCAAAAGCGCUGGCUUUUGAUGCAGUCCGCAGAAUAUUUUUAUAUAUAAUAUAUAUAUAUAUAUAUAUAUAUUUUUUGGCUCAAAAGGGGGUUAUAUUAAACCAAAAGCAGGACGCAACCAAGAAACAGUUAGGCAUGUUGCCUUGAAUCAGGAGUUAGUCACAUUUCACAGUCCUGAUUCAUAUUAUCUAUAAAAGCUUUAGACAAAAAGAAAGGAGAAAUAGGACCACUGAAUGCAUUACAAAGACCCCUAUAUAUAUAUAUAUAUAUGUAAACAUAAUAUGUACGCUCAUUUAUAUAAAUAUAGAUUCAUUGUCUAAUUUCACUACAUAAACACACAAAUUUAUACGAAGAAAAUUAAAUAUAAGAACUGGGUUCAGAUUGGUAUUACUUACCGCUUCCAAUGUCAGCCACAUGAAGCUUGAGUCCACUUACUUAUACGUAGAUAUGCUUAAUAUUUUCCAUUGGAAAGACAGAGAGAGAAUGCAGAAACAGAGCAUAUGUAGACAGAGAAUGGAGUGAUGAGCUCGGCGUAUAAAUUGGAGAGAGGUGUCAUCAAAUCAAUGAAAGGUCGUGAGGUCUGGUAAGCAAAUAAGCAAAUGUUAUUGGUGCACCGUUAAAGUUUAUAUUUAAACUAUAUUGUUUAAAUAUUAAGUUUGUAAUUUUCGAAUAUGCUACGUGGUUUUUGAGACAUAUGUUCAAAAUGUAUAUAUUCAAGCUUUUACCACCCAAAAAGUCUGACAAUAGUUUAGAAACUGGAAUUAUGUCCUGUGCAUGCCCUUUAUAUUUUAGAACACCGUGAUAUUAUCUUAUUCCCUUUAGAAUUGCAUUCAUUGGCUCAUGGCUAAGCAUCAAAAAGUGUAAUGCAUAAAUCACAUUGUUCUCAAACUCCAUGUUAUUUUCAUGUUCUUAUCAUUGGACUCUUUCACAUAAACUGAUAUUUGGACAAAAUACUGAAUCUUUUGGAUUAAAAUAUUCAACAUUGUUCAGAAUUCCUAUACUAGCUUUUCCAAGCGCUACAUGGUCGAGAGCUCCUUAUAUGACUUUCAAUUGGACACUAAUAAAACUAACUUGUUCCAAGUCUCUAAGGUAUUGAUUCUGAAAGCGGCUAAAGAUGCAGCAAAAGUAGUUGGAACAGGGGGUGCUUUAGUGAGUUGGGAUUUGUCAUGGCAUAACUGAGAAUGCAUAUCUGUUCCUUUCACUCUACUAGCUAAAAGGAAAUGUAGAAUACCUGUACAAAGCGAAAGCUUUUGCUUGAUUUCUACUUGAUAGAGCUCACAGGCUUAUCACAGAAGGACAGAUGCAUGGAGGUGGCAGUCCAUACUCAUUGUUUGAAGGGAUUGGAGGAAAAAACCAGGAUGUUUUUGUGUUACCUUGUCGAUGCUCAAAGAAUCCAAAACACCAAUGACAUCGUCAACAAGGACUUGGAAAUUGGCUUUUUCCGGCUCCGGUGGCUGGUCGGAAAGUCCAUAGCCCCGGAAAUCGAAAGCGAUUGCUCGAUAGCCUCUGUUGGCCACCGCAAUCAUUUGGUGGCGCUAUGUAUACCAUAUUUCUGGAAAUCCAUGCAGGAACAGCACCACCUUUGGACCUGCAUACAUAAUAAGCAUACAUGCUCAAUUAAUGAAAAUAUUCAUUC